UGUCGACUUGGUUUGCUUGGCGGCCCUGGACAAACUCUAAAAUGGGUUCAAUCCACUUGAAUUGGGUACGUUUUUGUUAGCUUCUAGGCCCUUAUAGUAACUGAACUGAGCGCAAGCUGGUGCAAACCCGUCUCCAUAACAUCAUCUUGCAGUUGCAGACUACCGCUAAGCAGAAACCCUUUCCAAUGGCUCUGUGUCCUGCACUAUCAAACUCAUUAUUCACGUCAUACCAAUUGAAGCUCAUGAUACCAACCGAAAAUAAGAGUUACCCCGCCAAGCUCACAAGAGGAAUCAUAUGUUGCUCCAAUUCCAAUUCUUCAUUUUCAACUACAACGACGACGAACUUGGGUCCUCCGGUUAUUAAAAAGAGAAAGAGAUACAGGAAACCGUACCCGGGAGAGAAAAAGGGUAUCACUGAAGAGAUGAGAUUCGUUGCCAUGAGGCUUCGUAAUCUCAAAGGCAAAUACACCUGUAAGUCUAUGAACAUUGAUGAUGACGAUGAUGAUUCCCAAAAUUCACAAGACGAGGAAAAAGAAAACUCAGGUGAGGGUGAUGGGGAGAGUUGGGUACCCAGUAUGGAAGGUUUCAUUAGGUACCUGGUUGACAGCAAGCUCGUUUUUGACACUGUCGAGCGUAUUGUUGAUAAAUCCGAUGAUGUUUCUUAUACCCAUUUUAGGAGAUCUGGAUUGGAACGAUCAGGGUGUCUUGCAAAAGACCUUGAGUGGUUUCGCCAACAGGAUAUUGCUAUUCCUGAACCUACUACUCCUGCAGUUUCAUAUGCUAAAUAUUUGGAGGAUCUUGCAGAGAAGAAUGCUCCUUUGUUUCUCUGCCAUUUCUACAAUAUAUAUUUCUCACAUAUAGCAGGUGGUCAAGUGAUAGCAGCUCAGAAGCGUCAUUGUGGAGUUAGGUCACCAUCUCAAGGUGACAUUUAAGUCUCACCACCCACCCAAGAAGGAAGGUCCUUUGCCAGUGACCUUACCCAGAAAAUCCGGUCACCAGAAGACCGGCGAGUGAGGCUCACGAGCCGGUACAAGCUCCUGUCGCCGUCCCACUUUCCCAUGCGUGGAGGCGCAUCUGACGUCCUCUGCCGCUCUGAUGGCUCUCGCCGGCGUCACCUUGGGUGUAGACUGCAUCCCUGUUAGUUGUUUUGUCAUAGGAUGCCUUUGUGGAGGUGAUUUAUCUUGGUCCACCUACUGUUGGUGGCAGGCAAAGUCAUAAAGGAGGCAGUAAAAGAGGGUAUAGUGGCAAUAUGAGUAACCAACAUAGUGAGGAGGUUGCCCCUAAUCGUGACUCUGGAGGAAUUGAAUGUUACUAUUGCUAUGAGCCAGGUCCUACAAAAAGGUAUUGUCCGAAACUUCAGAAUAAGAACCCACGAUCUCGGAUGGCCAAUAUGGUAGUUGAUGACUCUUCAGUAGCUCAUUCUGAUAAAGCAGUUUUAGUAUCUGCUGAAGAAUAUGCACAGUUCUCACAGUAUUAUGCCUCUCUAAAGUCUUCUAGUUCACCAGUCACUGCAAUAACUGAGUCAGGAUCUUACGACGAAGCAAAUUAUUAGUAGAGGGUAUGAGUCUGGAGGCCUCUACGUCCUUGACAAACAGGUCUCUGAGAAGCUUCUAGAAGGGAGAGUGUUGGAAUUCUACAGAUGGGGGGGAGAUGUUCAAGAAUUGUUGAAGAGGACACGUGAUAAGCUCAAUAUGCUUGGAAAGCAUUGGUCUCGAGAUGUGAAAAACA